CGAGUUCUAUAAACGGUGUUCCUAAGCUCCGGCUUUCCCUUGCCCGUAGUCUCCCCUGGGCUUUCUUACCUUGCCGCGGACUCCAAAACCCAGACUGGUUGGAUGCGACCUCCGCCUCUGCGCUAAAGUGGAGAGAAUCCUCGAAAACUCCAUGGCCUGGGAGCUCUUCCUCUGGCUCUACGCCUUCGCCUCUGUGAUCUCUCUCAUCGCCCUGACCGCGUACCAGCUUAUUAACUUGUCUGAUUUGGAGUUUGACUAUAUCAACCCAUAUGAUUUGUCCUCUCGCAUCAAUGCCGUCGUCAUUCCAGAGUUCCUGGUUCAAGGAAUCUUAUGUGCUUCUUUCCUCCUAACAUGGCAUUGGUUUCCAUUUUUGAUAAUGGUACCCAUCACUUAUUACCAUAUAAACCUGUUUAUGAAUAGAAGACAUCUUAUUGAUGUUACUGAGAUCUUUAGAUUGCUAAAUGGAGAAAAGAAGUACAGAAUAAUCAAGCUUUCUAUCUACUUCAGCAUAUUUGUUAUAGUCAUUUACAGGCUCGUGAUGUCUGCUGUCCUCUUACUUAUGGAUGAAGAUGAUGGUUCUCUGGAAUCUGGGAUUUUUUAACAUUCCUGAGCUGAGCCUGGCACGUACUCAUCUUCUAGACAUUCUUUAUGGAUUUGGCUAGCUCCAUUGUGCAUGGAAAGGAAGUUUCCUUUGGAUUAUACAUGUAGUGCACAUGAAGAUUCUCAUGUUUGGCAGUGGCUUGCUCCUAAAGUUUUUCUGCAAAUGCUGAUGUAUUGCCCACAUGCAUCUCAAAGUUAUGGCUAUGUUGUACUAGCAUCCAAUGACGUCUGCAUUUGCUGCUGUGCAGUGAAGCUGAAUCUUAUCCAUCCUUAAUGAUAUUCAACUGCAUAUUAUUUCAGGUCUUCAUGCUUUAUCCGAUCCUCAUUUACAGAAAUCUAGUAUGACUACUGAAGCCAUCACCUGGGCUGUUGGAAACUGUUUUGUAAACGAUCCAUGGGUCAAUUAUUUGAUGUAUCAUCUAAUACAUUCUUAUAUGAAAUUGUUAUUAAAUUAUUGUAUUUUAAGAAUAUUGCACAUUUUGGUAGUUAUUGUUAAUCAUUUGCCACUUUGUUGC